rnacentral:rRNA from 1 species
UACGGAGGGUGCGAGCGUUGUCCGGAAUCACUGGGCGUAAAGAGCUCGUAGGCGGUCUGUUGCGUCGCUGUGAAAACCCGAGGCUCAACCUCGGGCCUGCAGCCGAUACGGGCAGACUAGAGUUCGGCAGGGGAGACUGGAAUUCCUGGUGUAGCGGUGAAAUGCGCAGAUAUCAGGAGGAACACCGGUGGCGAAGGCGGCCAUCUGGACCGCAACUGACGCUGGAGGCGACGAAAGCCGUGGGGGAGCAAACAGG